CUUCAGCUCACACUCUGCUUGUAAUUACUGCCUGAUUUAUGGACUUCAGCUCAUUACAGAGUCUCUGCCGGGGUUUCCCUUAUACAGGCGUAACUCCAAAACACAGUUCUCAUCAUCUUCAAACCUCAGAAAAUCCAGAUUUGGAGUCUACACCACCACGCAGAAACAGUUUCUUUGAGAUCACACCCUCGUAUAAUUAAGCAGCAUGUUUGUACACCUCUAAUGAUUCACAUAUUUAGACCAAAAACCCUGAUAGAUCAUUACUUCACCAACACGACUCUCAUUAAAGGAACUUUUUAUUUACAGCACAGACUAUUUAAACCCUGAGAAAGUCCAUGUGUGUUUAUAAUUUCAGAUUUCUACAUGUGAUGGCGUUCUCUACGCUCUGCUGCAUCCUUUAAAAAGUUUUUACUCAGUUCAGUCGUUCAGCAGGAUUAACGAAGAAGAUAAUUGACUGAUAAAAUAAACACCGUCAGUCUGCAAACAGGUCACAAUCAGCCCCGCAGCAGUCUGUCAGUCUGGGAAAUCUCUCUGCAGUGACUUUUCUUGAGUCUGUAUCCAAAAACGGGGUAAAAAGUUCAGGUUCAAGUAUCUCUGCAGGACACAACACCUGCAGCCAGUUAGUUUACACUGAGACCAUGGAUGUAAUAUGUGGGGGGGACACGGGGGACAUGUCCUGACCUGACAUUUUCAAAAGCCUGUUUUGGUCCCCCCUGGUCCACAAGGUCCUUGAUCUUUAAGUAUGGGUUCAGCUCACGUAUGGUGACCAUAUUCUGAACCCUGGAGUCAUCGAGUUGCAAGAAGUUAAUUUUGAGUUUUUUACACACUUCUAACUCAGUAAGUCGACACGACACAAAGUCAAAACUUCGAUACAAAACCUCGGAUAUUUGAGGGAUUUUACAAACUCCCCUGGACAAAGCCGGAAGAGGACGGUGGACAUGUCCGGGUAAAAGAGGACCCGUGGUCACCUUAGCUCAGGCUCAAAGUUUGGCUCAAGUGUGGAGGUGAAAGCAGAAAGGUGCUGUCUUAAGGGCCUGUUUCCACUGAUGGUGUUUUCUUUCUGUUAAAGCUCUCAUGACCAAACCAAAAAAAGAAACAGUUUCUCCCCUCGUAAACCUCUGCAGCUGUUAACAAUCAGACACUGAAGAAAAAUGUGCAGCGAGCACAAAAAAAUGCGUUUAGUGGACACGGGCCCUAACUCUGAUAUAUCGGAUUUCUAAACUUACAGGAGAGCAAAAUAGAAAAAUGUUAAAACUGUUCAAAACUCACAUAUAAUGCAUAAAAGCUGCUCAUACAUUUAAAAUUAACACUGCGCUUUUAUUUCUGCUAUAAAGCACUCAUGCUAACCUGCUCAAAGUCUUCUCUCUAUGCUCUCACUUUUGUGUGUCAAGAUCUUUUAUCAUGUUUGCAUGAAGGUUGAUUUCGUGUUCGAGGUUCUCACAGAAAACUUCAGAUUUAAACACAUUAAAUUAAAGAUUUUUGAGCAGAAAUCAGACGAAACGAAGAAAACAACCGAACGCAUCACUGAUGUUUUCUGCUCCAAACUCAGAGACACUCGUUUUCACUCAGACGUGCAGUAAAUAUUGAGUAUUGUAGGAUUACUGUAUGUUUACACUCACAGACUCAUAUUUGGAUGGUUGUGUACACAUUCUGACAUUUUUGGGAUUUUUAACUUAAGUGUUUCGGUUACACUUGGUCUGUUAAAGUCAUCCGAGGAUCAUGUUUACAUGGGUGUUUCUUCUUCAGAGUCUUAGCUGAUGUCAAAAUAAAGAUGUCCCUGUAAACACAGACGGUGAUUAGUAAUACACACACUGUCACAAAGCUACACACACACACACACACACGCACACACACACUCAAGUCUCAGUCAGACUGUCGGAGAGUCUGCAGAGAUUAUGUAACCAGAGUAACAAAAGAUGGAUGCGGUUGGCAGAAAAACACAAAGUCCAUCAUUCCUGCUCGGCUCGUAAUCCAAUCCCAUCUCCUUAAAAACCAUUACCAGCACAAAAACAGAGCGGGACCUCUCACUGCAGGCAUGACACGUCUGAUCUGAGCCGGGUUUGUUAUAUAAGGUCAACCGCAUGUGGAAAAAAUACAGUCCUCAGAGGAGAGGAGCAGGUUUAACUGUGUCACUUACAUGUAUGCCACUUCAUUAAACUGAAACCCCCUCUAACUCGUAUAUAUCAUAAAUCUGCGGGAUCCAGUGCGUCACUUUGGUUUACCUCAACCUAACUCCAUAAGUGCUGGCCUACAUAUCUGAAAUCUUGACAUAUCUGUGAAUCGGGUCUACAGUUGGCAGUCUGGGGUCCGAACAGCUCUGCACAAUAAUGGAUCUGAGCGGUAAGAGGGGCACCGCUUAAGUCUUGAUUUUCACCCUGAGCUGGUUUUUUAGAAGCUGAGCGAUGCAGAUUUAUAAACACCCCUGAUUAUCAGACGACCCCUUUUAUAAAGAUGAUUGGACUUCACUUUUGUCCCCUUGAAGCAGACGCUCUUAAAACCACAGUGGUAUUUUUUAUCUGUUAGUAUUUUAAUGUCUUUUUAAGAUUCAGUUUUUGGUCUUUAUUCAGAGGACAGUGAACAGACGACAUAAAGGAAAGGGCUGCAGGUUGAAAUUAAACCACUGAGCUAAUGACGCCUCAAACCCCAAAUUUCCAUCGCAUCUGGCACAGCUCCGCAAUUUUUCAUCGUCCACCAAUUUCUACUGAAUCCAUUUGUGAGGCGAAUUUCAUGGUGGAUUACAGACGGCAGGAAUCGCGAGAACUCACAAGAACCCGCGGAUUCACAUGCAAUAUUGCAAUAACGAGUCGUCUCUCUAAAGACAGACACAUAGACAUAUAAGCAGUAGAUUGUGUCCUUCCAGAGGAGGAAAUCUACUUCUAGACUUCUAGAAUCAGCAUCUCCUCAUCCAUGGUGUCAUCGGGGUGAAAUGACGUCUAAAAACCUUUCACUUGUUCGUCUCCGCCCGUUUGCAUGGUGUGAAAUACGAUCCUCCUGAAACACGGAGUGUUUUAUUUUGAAAAGAAGCCGGAUGUUUUAUUUUGUGUCUGUGCCCGACUUCCUUUCCAACACGGGUUAAUCUGUGCUGAAUUUAUCCGCCAUGCUCCGGUGUCCGGAAAAAAUAGAACUCUAGUGAUCAGCUGAGGAGGAACGGAAAGAAGUCGAUAAAAUUUGAUGCAAUAACUUCAGUGGAACUGAUCAGCUGCGAUCGGCAGAAGCAACGUGAAAAAGCAACGCGGAAAUCCGAAAUAUUCAGCUUACGCCUUUUCCUAUACCCACCUGGUGCAACUGGAAUAAAACUUGCAUAUCGUCACCCUAUUAAAAUAAUGGCCUUUGUCGUUUUUUGACAAAAAUGCUCUUUAGUACCAGUACGAAAGCUUUAUUAGCCAAUCAGAGGCAGACAGGUAUGAUGAUUUGGAUCGCCACGACUCCAGAAACGAUUGAAAAACUACAGAAUGUUACAAAAUGGCGUAUCGAAAUGCGCAGCAGCAUCGUCGGCUUGGAAGGUUCAAAUGUGUACAUGCUGUCCCAGUUUAAAUGGGUUAAAUACAGCCCAUGUCUGUGUCACCUGAUGUGUGAUGAUCUUCUCUCUUAUUAAAGUCAAAUUGAUGUUAAAAAAAAUAAACUGUUUUUUUUUCCCGUGGAUUUUUAAAGGACUUCAGAACAACAGCAGUGACCCAAAAAAGAGUCAGAUUUCCUCUUUAACAUCACUUCACAUCCUCCGUCUAUUUCUGUUCUCAGCGGAUGUCAGCUGUGCUGCGUUUGCAACUUUCUGUCAGGCCGUCAAACCUCCUGCUCUGCAAGAGUUUGACCUCUGACCUCUGGCUGCAGGUCCGAACAGCACGAGUUCAGCGCACCUGCCCGCCACACACCUUCAUUUACGGGACGCACAGACCCCCACACCAAAAUAUCUCUGCCGACGGUCUCUUAGCGUGCGAAUGAAUUCCCCCUGAAAGUGAUCUGCUUGAAAGACCCUGAGGAAUUUUAAUAGUGUUGUAAAAUAUUCAAGGAGGGUUUUUCCUUCAGAAAUCGGACCCCGGCUAAUAAACCUGCAGCCAUGUUUAACGCCGCCAGCUGGAGAAACCUCCUCGGAGCUCCUCCCGUGUGUUUAUGCAGCAGCUUUCAUCUGCAUCACAAUACAGAUGUGGAGAGAAAUAUUUACAGCCGCUCUCAGAGUGUUUGUGCUGAAACUUCCUCAAAACAGAUUAGGCGAAUCCGGGAAAACAGACCUGCUCUACAAAUGAAGCAGAACAGUGUGACAGUUUGUGAAACUUUGGAAAUCAUUAGGGGUCAUUUCUGCGUUUGACUUAGGAUUAGUAGCUCUGCAACAGCCGAACACUUUCACGUCUUUCCUCGUGUUAGGUUUAAAACCUGCUUGCAUUUACCUGAAAUAAAAAGGAGAAAGACAAUGAAUAAGUUUGAGUAAUGGACAGAGAUAUGUUUUGGAUAUCUCAGUACCACACUGAGGGUUCUUUUUCUGUCUUUUAUUGCUCUUUUAUUUAGUCCCUGGUUACAUAAUGUUUCUAAAGGGGUGGUAGAUGGUGCAGCAAAGUAAACAUUCUCAUAAAGCAUAAUAAUGAACAUUUGUGAAUAUGUGAAGGUCAAGGCGGCAUCUAAUGAGCUCCUUCUGAUAACAGCGGCACCUCCUCAAAAACUCCCCACGAUUCACAGCGGAGGAUCCAUCACUCACACACCCCCACCUGCUGAUAGGAAAGACCCAGUCACAGAAAACUGAAAGAACAUUGUUGUGCUGUGUAGUAAAUCUAUUGGAGAGAGAAGUUAGGAAACACUCUUAUAUAAUGUAUAAAAAGAGGUCAAAACAGUUUAUACUUGUAGUCAACUCUUACAUAAGAAUAUGAGGAAUAAUGAUAACUUCUAUAUACAUUUAUGCACAUUAUUCUAACACCUCGCUACAGUUUGCAAAGACACCAAAGUUUAACUACGUCUUUUUAAUGCAUAAACAUAAACUAAAAGAUGCUGUUUUUGUUGUUCUGCACCUUAAAUUGCUUCAUGAGUUUAAAAUUGGGGGUUCGGGCUUCAAUAAAACGUAAAAACUGCUCGAUCACAUGUCUUGCACAGGAGUUUCUCAUGGUUUUGUUUGAGUAAUCAAAAUUAUCACAGCGUAUUGACUCCGAUUGGAUAUUUUGUGCAUGCACUCCUGCAUAUUGGUUUAAUGUGUAACAGCGUCCCUCACUCGUGGACAAGACCCCGAGAUAGUUGAACUCCUCGCAUGAGUAGCGGGGUCAGCAGUGAUGCGAACGCUUAACCGAUCUGUCGUGGUGAAGAAAGAGCUGAGCCGUAAGGAGAGACUCUGGAUUUACCGGUCGAUCUACGUGCCGAUCCUCACCUAUGGUCAUGAACUUUGGGUAAUGACCGAAAGAACAAGAUCGCAGAUACAAGUGGCUGAAAUGGGUUUCCUCCUCAGGGUGUCCGGGCUCAGCCUUAGAGAUAGGGUAAGGAGCUCGGACACUCGGGAGGAGCUCAGAGAAGAACCGCUGCUCCUCCACGUCGAGAGGAGUCAGAUGAGGUGGCUCGGGCAUCUGGUUAGGAUCCCGUUAGCCUCCCUCGUAAGAAAGCUAAUUAUGAUAUUAUCUUUAACUCCUAUGUUACCUGCUUCUUCUUCUACACCGGUAAUGUUAGGCUGCAGGCUCGCGUGAAGAGGAGUGUGCAGAACGGCGCUGUCUCCGCCCACGACUCAGAGACGAACUGUUAAUGAGCGACUGGAGCUCUGCAGAAGAAAACGACACAGGUCAUGUGAUUUUUGGCAAAAACUUCACAAUCACAAUUUAAAGGCCUCAGAAAACACUUUAAGUGGUUAAAAAAAACAACAGCUGGCUCGGCCCCUGAGUCCAGUCGCUCUGUGAAGGAUCUUUAAUUACUGAUUCUGGAUUAUUGUUUGCAGCUACUACAGUUAGCAGGAAAGCAAAACCGGUCGGAUAGAGACCAUGGAAAUGCAAUCUACUAACCCGUCAGGAGUGAUUGAACAAACAGACAUCUGCAUUCAACUGGAAGUCGCCCACUCACGCUCAGAGGCUUCGAUUACCCUCCAAGUCUGCAAAACAAAAACAAACGUCUAAACUUUGACGUGGUGCAGAUCCUCUACAUGCAAAUUUAAGAGCGUGAUUAAUAUAAUAAAACUGCUAAACAUGAUCGUGUUAAAUCUCCAUCCUGAGCACGCAGGUAUAAGUGUGUCAAAACCCUCCUCAUGCACGAGGACGGCUUCCCGGGCGGAUCUCCAUCUUUUUAUUUGUGCAAACUUCAAAUGCACUCGCAGAAAAGCAGCUGCUGUUUCUCCUCGCGUGGACUCACACACUCUUCUGCUGCACUCCUCUUUCAAACAAUAACACCAGAGUUGUUCACACUCUCCGUUUGCCAAACACACACACACACACACACACAGAUCUUAUUACUGGUGUGCUCUCAGACUCCUGCUGCACACGUUUAGCACGUCGCCCCUGAUGGAAAACUGCGCUCUUUCACAUCGUUAUUCCAUACUUUGGCUGCCUGGACCCCAAUAUCUUUCACCGCUGUGACAAUUGCCUUAACAGACGACCGCCGCAUGGCCACGAUGCAAGGAAUCCAGACAUUACCCAAUAUCCUGCGAGGGUCCGGAGGGAUACACGCCGCUCAUUAACAGACCUGCCAGUCCUGUGUGUGAUCGGCCGACAGGUCUGCGGUUUAAAUACAUGGGGGAGAUUUAUCAGACUGGACAUGAAUGACAUAAAGAGACAUGUGAAAGUUUGCCCUGAAGAGAGCGGAGGGGAAAAUCCACACGUACUCUUACACAGUUAUUAUGUCUGUGGCUGUCAGUGCAUGUCUGGAACUAAUUUGUGAUUAGAUGUUAUAAUAAAGUUUCAGUGCUCCAAAAACGAACCCUCGGCCAAAAACAAGAGGACCGCUCAGGUUUAAAACCGCUCAUUAUGUUCACUGCGCUCCGAUUUUCCAGCACACUCAAACGUAUUUCUGUCGAACUGUUACAAAGAAGAAAAAAAGUCUGAAAAAGACGAAAAGAAAAAAAAAAGUUCUUUCUCUGGGGACUUAACUAAAUCAGCCUUUAAAGGACUAAUCCGUCUUUUUCAGCCUGACUAAGGACAGUGUCUUUGUUUGCAAAAAUAGACUUUCAAACUCUCUGGGCCUGAUCCACUAAAGGUCAGAUCUCUGUGGGCCUAAUCUAAUCUAAUCUAAUCUAAUCUAAUCUAAUCUAGCCUCUAAAAUCUACAAGGAAGUGAUUAGGAAAAAAAAAGCUGUUAAGAUAGUAAACGAUCCUUCCUGUACAGAGAGUAGUUAUACUUCAUUCAGGCAGACGUUAUCAAGUCCCUAAGGCGAAUCGUAACCUCUUCAAAAACUCGUCUCGUUCGAUCUGCCUGUUAUGUUCGGCACACACCGCUGUUGUCCUCCCUCUUCUGCUGCCAAGAUGUUUUGUGUGUCUUUGUUGUGUGUCUGUUGCUGCUGUUUAACCUGUUUUUUGUACACAAUAAGACUAAAGGUAAUUUCACACCUGGACCGUUUUUUUCAUGCGAUUAUUUCAGACGUCAAUAUUUUUUUUGAACCCGUAUCCUGUCAAUACAAGCGUUCACAUCAGCGCAAUUUCCCGUCCUGCGAUAUUGCGGCAUUUAUUUUUUCAGAUCACGGUCAUCAUUUUUCUUAAGUUUCUCAUACUGUGUGUCCACUUCUGACCAAUCAGAUUUCAUGUUGUUGUGACGUCAGAUUCACCGGUAUAUCCAACAUGGCUGACCGGCUGAUUGUUUACGUGUCGGAGAACAGAGUGAUUUUUGAUAAAAGACACAAACAUUACAAAGAUAACGACCUGAAGGACGACUUGUGGAGAGUCAUAGCGUCAGAUUUCUCACAUGACGAAUUGUGAAUCAUAACCUGCAGUGUGAAUGAAGCCUAAUAGCACAAGAAAUUUUUUAGUUUGUGCGUGCAAUUUAGCGCUCGCUAUUUGGGAUCUUAGUAGAUCAGGCCCUUUAUCUGCAGGAUUACUGCAAACACAUUUGUACACACACACACACCCACCCAUACACACACACACAGUACAGUAUACAGGUGUGUGUUUGCAUGCAUGUGUGUGUUUAGGAAUGUAAGCCAGAGAGCAGAUACCCCCCACUCUCCGCCCUGAUGUCUGAGCCAGCUGGCCGACCCUCUUCACUCCCUCCACCUCACACCGCUAACCCUCUGCCCUUUCACCUUUACCCCCUCACACACACACACACACACACACACACAGACCCCAGAGGACUCGUACUGGAACUGGGUUAUCUCUGGGUGGUGGUGGUGUUGGUGGUGUGGACGGUUUCCAGGAAUCACAAUCGUCCCGUCCCUGCCCUCUUAUCCUUCACUGAUUUUCCAGUUUUCACAGCCCGGCUCUGGAAAGUGUGAGUAAGCGUUUCCUGUGGAAAACUAUAUUUUCAACGCUGUAAUUUGGCGUCUGCAGCCGCGCUCCUGCGAACAGAAACAGUAAGUGGAGAUGUGUGAAGAGAAGGAAAAACGCUGCGUCAACUUCAGGGUGACAGAUCUGAGUUUAACUCCCCACUAAAAGGAGCUGAUCGUGUGUAUCCGGGGGGGGUGUAGGUCAGGGUCCCUACAGCUCAGGGUCAAAGGUCAGUGUUGUGAGGAUGGUGCACGAGGUCUGCACAAUAAAAGAGAUAUUUAUGGAGCCGUUAGCCUGAGUCAGGGAUUAACUCGCAGCUUAGAGGCAUCAUUAGGACCCACACUGCAAAAACAGCCCAACUAGAGAGAAGCAAAAUAUUCUUAAAUUCAAUCAAAUAAUCCUGUAUCAGGCAGAAAAUCUAACAAUGCAGAUUUCUUGGUCCUGACAAACUCAAAUUAAACUUAAAACUAGACAGAAAAUCUUAAAUUAAUCAAAUUUUUUCUACAGCGAGAAAUUAAAGUUACUUAAAAUUAGAAUUUUAGUCUCUUGAAUAAAAGAACUUCAAGAAAAUACACGUUAGUUAGAAGUAAUAUCAUAUGAAGAAAUGUUAGCUAGAAUUAAAAAUGAAAGUGAGAACUUUAAGAAGUCCUGGGAGUGUUUACUGGUGCAAAACUGUGAUGAUACGUAAUCAAAAUGAAUCCUACAGCAAAUGUUUAAUAUUAAUAUGAAUAUGACUCUUUUAUCUUAAGGUAAAAAUACAUCACAGGCCUUUUGUGUUUUAUUAUUAUUUAUUUUUUUUUUUUUUUGGGGGGGGGGGGGUGUUUUUGUUUUUUUUUCCUUCUGUUGAUUUGUAUAUUUUGUAAAACUACAUUGGCUAUACUGUCUGUAUGCUGUUCUUCAGAAGGAAAAAUAAAAACUUGAAUAACAAAAAAAGAAAAUGCACCUUAAUCUAGGAUAAUUAAUGAGCAUGACGGUACUUCAAAUAAGACAUCAUUUCUUAAAACAGCAAAUAUAAGUGACGUUGUCUUAAAUCAAGAAACCAAAACAUUCUCAUUAAAUAUCUAUUUUUUAUUCCACAAGCAAGCCCCAUCUUUGUUGUUCUUUGUUGGUCUUUGUUGUUGUUUGUUGUUUUGCGGUUUUCAUCUGGUCAUUGUAUUAUGUUGUCUGUUGUACAGAUUAACCUCCUGACAUCUUUAAAUGUCAGAUAAUGUUUGAGGCUGUCAGGUUCAGACGACCUGAAGUGGAAAUCUUAGUUUAUAAAAAAAAUCAACUGUUCUUAUUUCAUGGCGUUCUUAAAUCUUAAAGUCGUACAUUUGUCUAAAGGUCCUUUCUUGCGCGAUAUUUAGUGCAUGAGGGUCUGCAGAGUCAGACAGAAGAUAAAACAGUUUCAUUCUUAAAUCCUCUCGCUGCAGAAAAACAACCACCUAAAAACUAGGUUGCGUUCGAGGACGCUGAAAACACAAACUCAUAAAUCAAACGAGGACUCUCAGGGAUUUUCUCGCUCAGCUGCUGUUCAAAGCAAACACACAGAUCAUGAUUCAGCUCUGACUGACUGAUUUAUUGCGCCGUCGUCCUUCCCUGCUCCUCUGUUGACGGUCACAUCCCCUCUGUCACUUCCCUACCAGCUCGGUUCACGUGCACGCCUCAUCUCGUGUCUGUGCUGCAUCAUUUUUGAGGACCCGCGCCGCCAACCCACCAGACCAGUGCUGGGAAUGUGCGGCAGCCGUGUUUGCAUAUGCAUACCUGACUGACAGUAUAUCUCCGGCCUUGUGGAGUUUGUGCAGAAAAUGUAACAUUUAGAAGUUGGUUCUCUCUCUGCUAAAACUGCAGACCUUAAACACAGUCACUCCAAAGACCGUGGGACUUGAAUCAAAGUGGAAAAUCCUGCAGGAACGCCUCAACCUUCUGCACAGCCCCUCCGCUGAGACGAAGUGGAGCUGUGAGAGUUUCACACCCCGGUACUUCCAGGAAUGUCCAUCACCCAGUUUCACCUUAUCACUGACACAUGAACACACCAGACGGCAAAUGAAGCAGACAGCGCCUCCUGACAACCCAAAAUAAAGAGGCACGUGAGGGCAGCAGGUGUAAACCGUCCUCCUGUUGCUCCUCUCAGGCGCCAGGAGGAUCCGCUCAGAUAAUCUCAGCUCUCUGUAAACGCUUCUUACAGAGCGAGGAGCAGGACUGAUUGAAAGCUUUGUUUUGUUUUAUCACCUUCACCACUUCAUCUGUCCUAACAAACACAAACACACACAGCUACAGUAAAUAACUCUGAUGGUUAAUGAGCGCUAAUUGUGACUUUCCCGUCAGCGUUGUUUCCAGUAAACACAGAUUCACACGUGCUCCGAGGCUCUCACAGAUUCUCUCCAGGACAUGUUUACUAUCUGCAGAGACGUUUCCACUGCAUGUUCUGUCACAUCCCUCACCUCGGCUCACCUCCUCCUCCUCCUCCUCCUCGCUGCAUUCAACCAAAGAGUCCAAAACACUAAUUAAGAGAAUAAUCCGUCACUAACAGACGGUGGGGUGGAGGUAUCCACCUGAACGUGAGUGACAACGUCAGAAUGAAAGGCUGUUAUUUCAGGUGAAUCUCAACGACGUCAUGCGCUUUAAUUUAGACUCUUCUUCGUGUGACUUAACAGGACAAGACAGCGUGUCUGCUGACUUCAUCUCACGCUCCACAGCCGAGCUUUCUUUAAAUCACUCUCACGCUGCAGGAAGGAGAACUGGAGAUUCACCAGAGUGAUCAUGCAAACACACUUUCAACAACCCGAUUGUGAUUGGUUGAAAUGGGAUUGGUGCUGCGUUCAUGUGCGCCUCAGAUCGUCCCAGAGUCAGAUUUCCCCUCUGAGGAUCAUUAAGGAUUAUUUUAUCUUAAAGUCAUGGUUGACGAUUGGAGAGAUUGUUAAUUAUUAUGAGCCUUGUUUCUAUGGCGAUCAUGGUCCUAUAGUUCGAUCUCCACAAAGUGAAGAGAAAAAAGAACUGAAAAAAUCUGUUCACCCUGCAAAAACAUUGACCAAUGGGAGCCAUCCGUCCCGGACAGCUCCUAUUGGUCAAUCUCAUGCUCCGCCUCUCCAUCCAAUCACCUCGCUGUAUUCGACACACCCCUCUCCCGUAGUUCCGACUUGUCCCCUCCCACUCUCCUGGCCCUCCUCGGAGCUCUAAGCGGCUAAAAGUAGCGUAGCAGCUUCUGCUCGCCCCACCGCCAAACGUGGGAAAAAAACGCCAACAGAAGAAAGGGCGGAGUCGAAAAGGAAAUGUGACCAAGCGAGGAAUCUAACUGGAAUAACCAUCGGGUCAUCCUUAAGGGGUGGAGAAAGAUCCUAUUUGAAGCUAGCGUAGGAUCUUCUGCCAGAGGGGGUGUGUCGUGGGGAGGCCGAUACAGGUUCAGGGGGGAGUUAUCGUGGAGCACAGAGGGGAGAGGUUAGUGUGAGAAGCAGAGUCCUGUACUUUGGUCCAAGACUGUCCUACUUUACACCAACAAACCCUGCAGUCCCCAAACUAGGUCCCUCCAGAGCGAGCUCCAGCAGCCCCCGGCGUGUUGACUGCAGCACUUACACAUUUACAUACGAGAGUUUUUCUUUGGAGUUCAGAGUCUAAUGAAAAUAAACUUUAGAAACGAAGGAGCACGGUUCAAUCCGUCCUACAUCACCAAAAGGUCAAAUAAAUAGACAAAUAAAUGAUGUGGUUUUUGUCUUUCCUCGUCUGCAAGUGAACCUGGAAACGUCACGGUCAGCGGGUGAUGAAGUUCGACUCUGACAGGUGUGAUUAGGUUGAUGAAUGCGGCCACACUGGGGGUCAAAUGGCCACAGGCUCACAGAAAGGAGGGAAAAAAUGACAGAAACUCCAACAGUUUGAAAAAUUCUGAUAAAAAAAUGAAAAAAAUCCACUUUUUUUCACCCCGAGUCUUUUGUUUUUCUGCUGACAUGGAACAAAUUCAGAGAUCUGGGUUGAUGUUGUUGGAGCUGAAGAUCGAAAUAACAGCAUCAUGAGUCAAGUUUCCAUGUUUUACCGCGGAGGGAAACAAAUCAGAGGACCGCUGAUGAAAAAUACAGAACGCAGGUUUAUUUUUGCAGCAUAUUUAUCUAGUGAGAAAGUACGUGAUUGGAGCCAGCAUGUUAGAUAACUGAUCCUGUAUUAGCUAAAAUUAACUCCAGUUAAUACAGAAGAAUGAGGUCACAACUGUGAGUAUCUGAUCUGAAGCAGCGAAAUGAGACCAUGUUUGAAUUUCAUCAACAUAAACGUCAUCAAAACUUUCAGGCGUAAGAAAUAUGAAGGUCGAAGGAAAGUUCACGAGCAUGUCGAGUGUUACCGAAGAGUUCGCAGCCUGAACUCUCCUCGUCUCUGUCGGUAUGAGGAGCAGUGUGACAACAUACCGGGUCUCACCGAGGUGAUAAAGGUCUAACUCAUGCCUCAGAGUCUGAAAGCUUCACCUGCAGCACAUUCUGUCCUCUGAGGCUGUUUUUCAGGAUGACCUUCCAUCACGCCGCUCAGACAGAGAGAACAAAACUGACUCAAGCCUGUUUUAACAUCAUGAGUUAUAUAGCCUGUUAUGAAACCGCUCAGUGUGGAAUUUUUAUCAGAUCUAUUCGAUCAAUCAAAUUUCCAUCGUUAUUAGUCAGGCAGUGGCUUAAAAUAUCUGGAUUCAGUGAGUUGAUCUGAUGUAAAAACGUGGCCGGUGAAUAUCGCAGUUACAAGUAAGAAGCGAGGUCGCACAGUCAGCUCAGGGUUACGGUAGAAAAGUGGAAUUUUAAACAAAAGUCAGUAAAUUAUAAUGUUAUAUAAAAGGUCUGGGGCGAUUCGUCAGUGUAGCGGUGCAAAAAUCAUGUAUUGAUGCGUCACAUGAUGAUGUAGAAAAUGGCUACUUCAGGUAUCAGUGGAGGCAUGGACGGUAAACGAGCUCCACCUAAUGAGGUCGAUUUAAAACCUACUUUAACGGGAUCGAUGAGCAGCUCCUCUAAAUCAGUGCAUGUGUUCUUCCUGGCUUCCUUGUUCCUUGUUCACAUUUUCAAGAUGGCGCUGCUUCAUUCAAGGAGACAUGCAGUGACCGGUCAAUCAAAUAACCCACCGCUGGUGCAGCGAAUGCCACAGUGGACGCUGCAUCAUACGUCCUGCAUCCCGUAUCUAAUUUAUUCACUUAAAGCAGUUAGCUCAGAGUUGAAGCAUCAGUUUUGUGCUUUUAUUUGUCCGAUAACUCAGUAAUUAAUCAGCCGUGUGAUCGCCAAAGAUAGCUCGCUAAUGCUAACACUCAGCGCACGUGAGCUCCGCUGCACAUAUGUAUACUGAUACACGAGUCUGAGAUAGAGCAACGCAAGGAAAAAACUUUAAAGUGUGGCGGCUUUUAUUUAAUCGUGGCGGUGUGCCAUGAUCGACUGCAUAUCGGGGAAACAAGAACAUAACAGGCUGGUCACCUGAAAAUGGUAAACUGCGGUUCACAGUGUGUCGCCCAGCACUAAGUGAAGGCUUUUAGCUGAGUGUUACUUACAGCUGACUUCAGAUAAGCUAAAAAGUGCGUUAUGAAUUUUAAAAAAACGUUGAUAAAAAUUAACUGUCUUUGUUUUAAUUUCAAGAGAAUCAUGAAUAAAUCACUGAAUUAAAUACCACUACUAUCGCUAGAUUAAUCAAUAAAAAAAUAAUCAUUAGGUGCAGCCCUAUUAAAAUUUUAUCAUUAAACUGAGAAGCUGAUUAAGACACGUAAACAACCAAAAAGUUCGCUAGAAGUUACGAACAAAUACCUGAAACAGAAGCUUGGCGAACUUUAGCGGCGCAAUGUUUUUAACAGAAAGUUAGCUUAAUGUUGUCAAAUUUCGCUCUGUCUUCUGCCUUAAAAUAUAACACAAAGAUAUAAUACAUAUUACAAUAAAAUGCUUAAAAGUCUCACAAACAAGCUACAUUCUUAAGUUAGCUAGCUACAUUUUAGCGUUAGCUUGAAAUUAGCCUUGCUGAAAUUCUUGCCGUUAGCUAGCUGGUGGUCUGGUAAGCUGAAUGGAAUUAGCUAAAAUAAAGAGGGUAUCAAUCUGACAACAACAGCUGGAGGACUUCAGAGUUAGUUCCUAAAAAGGAGACGUGAGAGCGAAUCAGGCGCGAGCUAAUGUAGCAUGAUGCUGUUAUCUCUUUAGCGCUCCUUUGAUCUACUCGUCGUUAAAGAUCGAGAUAAAACGGCUAUAAAAAGAAACAACAUAAAGACAUUAUUAUCCUCUGAGUUUUGACAGGUGGCCGUUCGUCUUUUUUAUGUCAUAGGUUGUGUAACUGUUUCUCAGGUUAGUUACACAACUGACCUGGCUCGCCGUCAGCUAGCACAUUAAUAUUCGUCCGUGAUGGACGCCAAAGAUAGCUGCACAGAGGAACAUGAGGACCGCGCAGGCAUGCCGUCUGUUCAGAUGCUUCUCCGGGGUUUUCUCAGGGUGUGUGCUGAAGGUUCAAGAGGUGUUGGUUUUACCUUCAGGGAUCAGUCUUCAGAGAUUUUAUCAGAGAAACAGAGUGACAGCCAGCUGAUGUUUUGACGUGAUGAUGAUGAGGAUGAUUCUGCUCUUCCCUGAAGACAUGUUUGUGUUUUCAGAAAGACGUCGAAGCAGCAUUUUCAGUCCUGCUGAGCAAACCGAGACUGUGCGGUUAUUCCAGGAUAACUUUAUUACUCUGUAGAGGUAACCUCCAGUCUUUAGAAACAAAGCUGAUACUGAAACGCUGUAAACUCUAGUUCCUCAAGUGUCCACUCGGGGUAGUCAAAUACACAUCCAUUUAGAAAAGCCCAUUUCUACAACAAAAAGAAACAUGUUUACAUACACAUACUGUACAGAUGGUGAAUUUUUUAGGACUCUGGUUUUAAUGAUGUUCAGGUUCUGCAUGAAGAGGGGCGUGUCUGACCUGACUCUCAGGUGGGCUCGCUGUAAUUACCAGGAAAGUGGCUGACCCCCAAUUUCAACC